GUUUUUAUAGUGUAAGCAACACGUUACAUUUUCGUUGUAAAACUGAAAUUCUUUUUCUAAAAACU
rnacentral:tRNA from 1 species